AUCAAUGAUGUCACUUGCCAGUGUAUGAGUACAUAUAUAACCACAAAAUCAUAUGGCCAACUACAAUUUCAAAAACAGCUGAUUAUACAGUUUUGUAAAUCUUGAACUUCACUCUUCACAGUCCCAUUCGCAGCUCAAUAGUAGUCAUUUGCGGCAAGAAAUCGAACAAAUGGCUGAACAGAAGGAAAUACAGGUCCCAAAGGUUAAACUAGCUAGGAACUCAAGGAUUUGAGGUUAGAUAUAAUAUUCCUCCGGCAUUUUCCUUAAUUCCUGAAUAACUUCCUUUCAGUAGCUUUGUUUCAUUGUUUAGUUUAUUUCUAAUAUCCAAUAAUGGCAUUAACUUCAUCAGGUUUCAUUUCUUAUUUGUUCUUACAAAGUGCUUUCGGCCUGAUCAAAGUAGGGACUAGGGACUCAUACCUAUUUUAAUCAAAAGAAAAUACAAAUAGGGAAAUGGAGAUAUCAGGAGACAAGGAAAAUUACACUGUUCUAGUAGGUUAAGCAAUCAGUUGGCUUGAAGGAUACCACUUCUCUAUCCAGGUCAAAACCAACCAACAUAUUUCCCUGCAUAAUAGCUCCAAAAACACCCAUAUCAGGUUCUACUGCUCCCUUAUCACCUGGACGCUUGAUUCCAAAACAUGAUAUGUUUUUUUCAUCAUUUUUUACAAACAUUUGUUCUGUAAGUAACUGCACUUUGCCACCACCCUCGAAAUGAAAACUCAUUUUUGGUUCUUCUGGAAUUUCCGUCGAGUUGAAGCAUAAAAGUGUUUGUUGUUUAGUCACAAAGAACGACUGCAUUUUUGGAUCAAGUGUCUUAUUCAGCUCAGUUAUUACCCUGUCAAAAAGAUGUUGAGGUAACGUUGUUAAAGUUGAGCCUGAGUCGAGUACCAUCUUAAUUUUGUUGAGCGAUGUCACGUUUGAGUAAAACGGAACAAAUUCAUUUCCGAUGGUCAUUCCUUCUGCCAUCACAAUAUAGUGACCCUCGUCUGGCACCAAUGGAGUUGAGACAACCCCUUCACCUGAAACUUCACUCCCAUUUCCGAAAUUGAUCUUACUUUCGAUUUUGGGAUCAGUAGCUAGAGGCACCAAGCAAUGAGAAAAUUUAUUUCCUCCAACAUAGGGAGCAAUCUGAGAAACAAAUGACAUGGGUCUACGUCCAAACCCGAUCACCCCCAUUUCCACUCUAGUACUAGAUGGCUGUUUGGUGGAAUGCCCACACCCAAAGAUAAUAUCUUUUAGGGUUACGGCAUUCCCUGUCCUAGAUGUCAAAGCAACUGUUUCUGUUGCCAAUACACCUUCGCUGGUUCCCCCGCCUCCAUAUGUAAGACCAUAAGGACACCUUCUUGUAGGAUAUUUUGUACAGAAAUCUGGGGGAAUGUUUGGUGAUUCUCUCAUGUCGUCGCCAAGUCUACACUCUUUAUCAGAACAAGUAAUGUUCCUAUAAGUUGAGGAUUUACUCGGGUCGAAAAUGGCAUAUUUGGUCUUGGAGCAAUUCUUACACGGCUUGCAUUGGGUCCAUAGUAAACUGCUGCCUGUAUCAGCAAUAUCAGCAAUUGCAUAAACAUCUGAGGGUGGGGUUCCCAAUGAGAACUUCAGAAGAUGUAUGGCGCCAUGAUCGUUUAUUAAUGGGAAUCCAGGCGUGUUUGGAUCCAACAAUCUUCGAAAGUUUUUGUUGUUUCUAUGUUCGUACAAUGGUGAAUUUGGGGCAUUUCUUCGGAUGAGAUGCGCGCUGAAACCUCCAUUAAUACUGUUGGUAUUGAUUAUUGCUGUAACAGGGAAAUGUAUGAGAUGAAAGAGAAAAUAAGUGAUGGCUGCUAUAAUGCAAUUAGUUUUGUUUAAACUUUAAAGGACAAAGGAUCGCCAUAAGGUUGAGUUUAGAGAAAGAAAAGAAGUUGAAUUAGAGGCAAAAUCACGAUUUGUAACCUAUAAAUAUAUAAAAAAAUAAUAAUUUGCAUGAAUCUUACCAUAUUGAUUUGUUGUAAUAGAAGGUUGAGAAGUUUGUGUUUGCCAUGAGUAGUGUUGGAACUAUUGUUUUUAGAAAUAACUUGGAACAUGACCCGGGCCAUCUUUUCCUAAAAGAACUCUUUACCCGUCGAUUUAUUGCAUUUUCCAAAUUGCAUGAAGGGCAUUUGCUCUGCACCAAAUUCUAUAUAAGCCCUUAUUUACUUAACUUAUGAUCCGUUUCAUCUUUGUGAUGGUUUCCACUGCCUGCUGCAGGGAGAGCAAAGCGUAGGACUUGUCCUACAAGAUCUUAGAAUCAUAGAAUCAAGAGUUCAUCACGGAGCAGAGUUCGUGCAAACUUGUAUUUUAAUCUUUUUCUUUAUGCUACUUUAUUCUUUUUUUUUUUUUUUAGGGAAAUGGAUGUUAUUCAUCGGGCAUAGCCCAUUCAUUGGCAAAAACCAAAACUACCAAUUGAGCCGAAGCCGUGCCUGGUCAAGCAGGAGAUAAACUCUGAUACAAGCUCAAAGAACCAUUAUUCGAUAAAAUGAAAUACUAAAACUAAAGUCCAAACAAGCGAACAAUCCAAACUAAACUUUAAAACUACGUCCAAAAAAAUGGACAUGAAAACUAAAAAGCAAAUAAAGAGAAUAACCUCUACUCCCAAACUACAGUAAGACAAAGCAACUGUUAUGAUAAGUAUGACGCCUAAGACCACUUGGUAUACGUUUCCACUUAACAGACCAGCAAAACAACUUCUACUUUGUCUUUUUAUAUAUGAGAACAUAACAUUAUCAUAUUGAAGUAGUUAAAACAUAUUUAUUUAUGUCAUUUUUCCCCUCUAAAUCAAGAGCAAACUCAUUCUCUCCAAAACCUAAAAGAUCAUAUAAAACCAAUCUGAGUAUAAAAUGUUUUACAAUUAUAAAAAAAAAAGAAAAAAGAAGGAAAAUACAUAAUGACGUGGCGUCCUGAGUUACGAAAUAUUUAUUUAUUUAUUUCUUUUUCCCGCCAUUAGCCUCCCUCCAUUUCCUCUCCCUCUCUUUAUUCUGAAAUCAAUUUUAGAGAGAGAAAGAGAGAAACCAUCACAGUUUUGACUUUCAGGGAUGAUUUGGACUUUUCACCUCUGAACUCUGGUCUCUGGGCAUGGAUACUCCUCUGAAGAACCAGUCCACUCCUUUGGUUUCAGUAUUCCAGGUCAAUUUUGCCAAAGUCUCAAUCUGUAUUCUAUUUUGAUAUCUGGGUUCUUCUUAAUUUUGUGAAUACUUGUAUGGGUUCAUAUGGGUUCUGUUCUUUAGACCAGUUUCAAUGGAAUUUGUUGUUUUUGGGUUUCUGUGAGGCUUGAAUUUGUGGAUUUGGGUUCGAUUUUUAGGGUUCUAGUGGAUCAUUGUUUGAAUUCAAUGUGAAUUAGUUUUGAAUCUUUUGAUGUAAUCUAGAACAAGGUAAAGGAUCUGAUUUCUGUUAAAGCAGUAAAAUUUAUAGUUUUACUAUUGUGUAUACAUCAAAAGGUUGAGACUUUACUCAAAAUUGAAUUUGUGACCUUUUGAGGGCUAAAGGUUGUGACUUUACUCAAAAUCAGUUGAAUUGUGACCUUUUGAGGGCUAUGGAAUGAGAUCUUACUGUUUUUGGAAUUGUAGGAAUCACCUGUUUCCAAUUUCAUUAGCAAUCUUUCUCCAAUUGAGCCUAUCAAGUUCAUAAGAAAUGACCACACAUUCAACUCACUGAGCUUUGCUUCUCCCCCAUCUGGGUUUACUCCGCCGCAUAUUGUUUCCCCAUGUCGAAAUAAGUUGUUACAAAAGAGGUACAGUUAUUUAUCUGUUCCUGAUUUGUUGAAUUGAAAUGAAAAGCAUGUUGGUCAUAAUAUUUACACUAGUGUUUUCGUGUCUGUUGCUGUCAGGCAUCACUUCUCCGAGGCAUGGGAGCCUGGGAUCUCUCGAAGUUGUAAUCUAAAUAGUACUUCUGAUGGAGAUUCAAUUGUUAGUGAGCAAUUGGAAUGUUCAGUAAUCGGAGACUUAGUACCAGCAGAGAGUUUAGAACUAGCAGCUGAGUUGCCAAGUACCUUGAAGUUAAGUUGUGGUAGCCCCGAGAGCAAUGUGGUACCUUUUGAUGCUACUAAGGCAGAUGGCACACCUGAAUCGGUUGUUCAAUCUUAUAUUCAUCAACCAAAAGGAGGGCAUUCUUCAUCUGAAAGGGAAGCACAUUUACUCAGAAUCUGUCGAGCCGGAUUUGACUGGGAGAUGUCAGUUUCUGAUGCUGAUGAUCUGUUGAACUUCGAUUUCGAAAUCAUUGAAGAGAAUUCUGCCGAGGAAGAUCCUAAAACAGGUGAUCCUGGGGUAAUGUCUUUUGUAUCAAACAUCCUAGUGGACAAUCACAAUGAUGUGGAGAUAAGGCAUACGGCAGAUCCUAUGGGUUCCAGUGAACAAUUUGCAUUAAAAAAGUUCAGUAAUUCUGAAACUGAAUAUUUUGUUUCUAAAACAGUAGAUGGUGGUACAGUCUCUUUUAUUUUAGACAACCUACAAGAGAAUCACAAUGGCAAGGAGUUGGUGGAAACUGUUGGUCCUAUUGAUUCUAGUGAACAAUGUGAAUCGGAAAAGUUCAGUACUUCAGAACCUAUUUGGGACCUGAUGGAAAUAGAGCAAGCACCAUCAAUUCUUUCUCGACCUUUACUGGAUUUAAAUGUCAAUCCAAGUAAUACAGUGGAUGUCAAGCGUCACAAAUGCACCCCUCCUAGCUGCAAGGUAAUACAUAGGCUUGAUCAAUAUUUGUACAGGUUGCAGAUGCUAUAUAAUUUGUGAAUAACUGUUGAAGCUGAUUUCCCUGAGUACCCCAGUAACUCUAAAAUGACCAAGUUGACCACAAUAUGCUUCGCUUCUAACAGCUUUCUAUGCACUGAACUUCUCCAUUUGUUUUAUGCAUUUCUUUCCUUCCUCCCUCACACACGUGUGCACACUCAUACAAAAACAAAGCUGAAGAAAUAGAUCAUAUAAAUCCAUAGUGAUGCAUGCAACAAUAUCAUAUAUUAUAUAAUAAUGUAACGAUUUGUUUGUUUGUUCCUUUCUAGCCUAGUUCUCAGUCACAUACGAUUCACAGACGCUGUUUGGUUUUUGACAAGGCAGAAACUCAUAAAAGAAAAUUAGUAAGUGAUUCUAGUGGCACUUGUUCAGUCUCAAUGAGGUCCAAUUGUGAAGCUCCAACUGUUGUAAAGGAGUUGAUUCAAACUACAACUGGAAUGGUGUGUGCUUUCUCAUCAGCUAGAUUACCUGGUAUUGGUUUGCACUUGAAUGCUCUUGCAACUCCAUGCGAAACUAAUUUAACAGUCAAGACUCUGGCUUCGGAAAGUCAAGUGAUGAGUAUGCCAGACUCCAAGACAUGCUAUACUACUAUCACUCCAGGUGAGGAUUCUCGUGAUGAAUCAUUAAUUUUGAACUAUUCAGAAGAUGAAUCUGUUGCAUGCAAGAAUGGAGCUCAUCUUGCAGAAAGUACUCUUCAAACAUGUAAGCAUACUUUUGAAGAAUCUGAACACAGUAGCCCAAAAAGGAAGAGGUAUGCACAGAAAAUUUUGAAUGACCUUCAAUCUCUUUACCUAAAGAUUUGAUUUUACCUUAAGUUUAAAUUAUGCAGUGUUGAGACAAAACAUGUUGGAGAAAGCAGGGCCUGCAAGCGCUGUAAUUGUAGGAGGUCAAAAUGCUUGAAACUGUGAGUCUUUUACCUAUUAGUGUCGAUACUUUUCUCCUGAUCUUGGAGUUUAUUUUACAUUAGUAGUACUAGAUAGCUAUAAAUAGACUAUCACAAUUGUCAGCUUUUGCCAUUAAUCUUGUGCACUAUGCAAAAUUUUCUUUUCUUUUCAAUUGUUCACUAAAUUUGACGACCAGCUAUGUUCCUUAACACAGUUAUUGUGAAUGCUUUGCUGCUGGUCUCUACUGUGUUGAGCCUUGUUCAUGUUUUAAUUGCUUCAACAAGAGUAUUCAUGUAGAAAUUGUUCAUGAGACUCGAAGGCUCAUUGAACUUCGCAAUCCACUUGCAUUUGCUCCUAGAGUGGUUGGAAGCGCUGAAGCUGUUUCUCAAUUUGUGGUAAAAAUAUAUCACUGAGCUACUUGUACUUUCUGACAGUGAGUCAUCUCAGCAUCAUAUUUAGGAGACACCACGGCCUUGCAACCCAAUUAUUUUUGGACCAAUCAUUCAGCAAUAAUAUUCGUAGUGAGAAUUGGGUUGCGGUGGUGUGGUGCUAAUCAGUCAUCGGAUACUAUUUCUUUGGUAAUUUCCAUUGCCUAAAUGUAGACUCCCAAUAUUCCCAUGCAGGAGGAAACCAAAUCUACUCCAACUUCAGCUAGGCACAAAAGGGGAUGCAACUGUAAAAAAUCAAGCUGCUUGAAGAAAUACUGUGUAUGCUUCCAGGUACUGACCUUCUAGUCUGCUUUCUUUAUAUGAUCUAAAAGCCGCUCUAAAAUGUUCUGACUGAGCUAUUACGACUCUUUGAUUUUUUCAUCAAGGGUGGUGCUGGGUGCUCUUUGCAAUGCAAAUGUGUAGGCUGCAAAAACACUUUUGGUCAGAAGGGCGGUCAGCGUUUAUCAGGUCUGUUCUCUGUUUCUAAUUAUUUUCUUUUCUAAUAUCCUUGCACUUCAUUAUUGCUAAAGAUCUGUUACUUACAUCACCUUGUCGAUGAGCUUCUCUGUGCAGUAUUAAUAAAACUUUUGUAGAGUAAAAAACAGCAAACUUGUCGAAAGUAAUUGUAUGAUUCUACCCAAGGCAGUGCAGCUUGCCUGUAAAUAUUCCUGUAGUUUCAAGUGAUUCUUAUUCUUUGUCCAAUAGGAGGUCUAGGAUCUGAGGACACUGAAGUUGAAGGAGAAUCAGGAGUCCAUGAGAAGAAUGACCCAAUGAUACUCUCUGAGAUCUGCAGGUUUUGAUUUCUAUCCACUGUGGCUCUUAUACUUCAUUUGAGAUAUAUAUUAUACAUAUUUGAAGCCUUUUCGUUUAAUUUUGCAGAUCACCUCCAGACCAACUCCCAACCACUGAUCUCAAUAGGACAAGUGAACAAAUUUCUCUUCAUUCUAGUCAAUCAUCAUCUCCUAGGCUUGAAAAGCAUCUUCAGGCGAUCCCAGAAGAAGAAACUUUUGAGGCAUUGGAUAGACCUAAAACGAGCCAACCUAGCUCUAUUUGUGUGAAGUCAGCCUCUCCAAACUCGAAGAGGGUAUCACCACCUCAUAGUCACAAUAGCAUUGGCAAGUUUGGGUCAUUAAAAUCUUGGAAGGGUGGUAGGAAGUUGACUCUGAGAUCAGUUCCACUACCAUUCACCAAUCUGUAAUCACCUCCAUCCACUAAGGUACGUACUUCCAUGUUCAUUACUUGGUUAGGAAUCUGAAUCAGCUAAAGCCUGAUCCCUUAUAAGGGUCUCUAAUGUUUCACUAUAACAAGCAUACUGUUACUUAAUAUCAUGGCUCAAUCUCAUAAACACAUCAAUCACUAACACAGUAAUGUUGUUUUUCUUAUUUCGAUCAUUUCUUAUUUGUUCUUACAAAGUGCUUUCGGCCUAAUCAAAGUCGGGACUAGGGACUCAUACCUAUUUUAAUCAAAAGAAAAUACAAAUAGGGAAAUGGAG
rnacentral:lncRNA from 1 species